GAUGAAGAACGCAGUGAAAUGCGAUAAGUAAUGUGAAUUGCAGAAUUCAGUGAAUCAUCGAAUCUUUGAACGCACAUUGCGCCCGCCAGUAUUCUGGCGGGCAUGCCUGUUCGAGCGUCAUUUCAACCAUCAAGCCCCGGGCUUGUGUUGGGGACCUGCGGCUGCCGCAGGCCCUGAAAUGCAGUGGCGGGCUCGCUGUCACUCCGAGCGUAGUAGUUACAUCUCGCUCUGGGCGUGCUGCGGGUUCCGGCCGUUAAAAGCCUUAUUUACCCAAGGUUGACCUCGGAUCAGGUAGGAAGACCCGCUGAACUUAAGCAUAUCAAUAAGCGGAGGA
rnacentral:misc_RNA from 1 species